UUUUUUUUUUUUUUUUUUUGACUUUGAGAAAGCAUAAUUCUCUGAGUAUUAGUUUCCUCAUUUGUAAACAAGACUUUGAGACCCCUGGACAGUCUGCCCCAUGGCUCUGCUGGGAAUGUCAAAUGGGAUGAUCCCAAAAUAAGUGUGCUUUCUACACCACAAAGUCCUAAACACAUGGAAGGGAUUCUCAGCCAGCAGAUGCUAAAAGCAAAACUAAAAUCCAAACCAACCAAACAAAAACUCAAACUGAACACUUUCCUGAGACCGCGUCUCAGUGAGUCUCACAGCAUUGGCAGCUGUUGUGGCUGUUGGGGUCAACAUGCCAACACUCAAAACUCUACAGUUAAAUAAAAAUCAGAGUAGGUAGCCCAACUCCUGUUAAGGUAAUCCUUUGCAGAUUAAGUAGGCCAUCGAUAAUCUCUGGUUAACAUUUGACCCAAGCGUGUACCAGCUUUUCCCACCCUUGCUCUCCUCCAGCUGGUAGUCUGUUGUCUACUGCAUGCUAUUCUGAAGCUUUAGUAGCUUUUGAUCUCCUUGUGUGUAUACACACACACACACACACACACACACACACACACACACACACACACACACACACACACACCAUAUAUAUUAAAAAACCUUGACUUGACUGGCUCUGGAGUUUCAUAUAAGAUAGAGCUUGUUAGUAAAUGAAAGUGAUUCCUGAAAGUUGACAUAAAAACAUUGAGGCCAAGCUCUCUUCAAAGGGAAGAUACUGUAAGUCUCCCAAAGUCUAAUCAAAGUGAAUAAACAACAACAACAAAAAAAAAAACAAAAAAGGAGUUCCCAUCGUGGCUCAUUAUGUGCCCAUGGACGCACAGCCCUAUCAACAUGUUGUCUCUCCUUCUAUCCUUUUCUUUUUUCUUAUGGGAAAAUUUCAAACAUACAAAAAGAGAACAGUGUAACAAACAGACAUGUGCCCACCACCCAGUAUCAAUGACUCAUAUUUUGCCAUUCCUCCUGUAUCUAUGUCCACCUCCCAACUGUUCCUUUUAGGGAAUAUUAUAGAGCAAACACCAGACAUUGCACCAUUUCACCAUUAGUCCCUGGCAUUUUUCGCCUUUUCUUUUGUUUGUUUAAUGAUGAGCGACUCUGAGAACCCAGUGAAAUGUGCCGUUGUGGAUGGAGGUGGCCCGCUGCACAGAGGAAGACAGUCUGCAUGGCUCAUAUAUAUACGUGGUAUAUAGAUACGUAGAUAUAUUUUUUGGUCUUUUUAGGUCCACACCCACGUCAUAUGGAAGUUCCCAGGCUAGUGGUCCAAUCAGAGCUACAGGUGCCAGCCUAUACCACAGCCACAGCAACGCCAGAUCCAAGCACAUCUGUAACCUACACCACAGCUCACGUCAAUGCCGGAUCCUUAACCCACUGAGCAAGACCAGGGAUCAAACUUCUUUAUGGAUACUAGUUGGAUUCCUGUCUGCUGAGCCACAAUAGGAACCCUCCUAUAUCAAUUAACCAAACUUGGGCCAGCAAUCUAUCUAUUCAUUUGUUCUAUUUUUAUAUUAUCUCAUGGUAAGAAUGCUUCAAGUUGCCUUAUUAUUCAUGAAUAUUAUUUAAUGAAACAGGGGAUAGACAUGAGAUUGAUGACUGAGAUGGGGGCUGAGGACAUUUGAUGAAACCAACACAGUUGUCUUAGGUUCUGAGGAGGAUGGUUGGUUGGAAAGGAGCCUAGAGUGCCUGGUUAGGGAAUCCCAGUUGCUGGAAGGAUGGGACCCCGGACAGCUCCCCCUCCUCUAUGGUGCUUACAGGACGGUUUGAUGCUUUGAUGAGGCUUCAGCCACGAGUGGCUACAGGCUGUCCACGGUGGUGCUGACUCCAGGAACUGUGGAAUGGAGGAGCUAAGAAUUGCACACACUGCUAAUCAUUUAUUCUUGGAACUGUUCACCACGUGGGCUCUGUGACCUUGCAGCAUGAUCACGAACAGGUCUGUCACUAAAAUCCCAUUGGAUUCCAGAGAUUACAGUGCUCUGUGGGCUUUCCUGGCCUUCUUUGGCAGCAGGCAAGGUUGCUGGCUCAGAACUCACAAAUAAGAACACUCCUGUUCCUGGCUAGGUCUUUGGCCUCUGAGGCCAGGACACUGCAGCUUUGUGGAACCCUUAGGCUCUGACAGGAAGUUUGGCAUGCUGUGGCUAACAGCUACCUCUUCUAGCUCCAGUCACAUUAAAGGACUGACAAAGUCUCUCCUCGAUAUGCUGGCUGCUAGGUGGGAAGGCUUUGGAAUCACAACCAGGCUUGUGGGCCUCUGUGAUUUCCAGUUACCUUAAAGCGAUGGUUCUGGGGAGCUUGAA
rnacentral:lncRNA from 1 species